rnacentral:rRNA from 1 species
GACGAACGCUGGCGGCGUGCCUAAUACAUGCAAGUUGAGCGCUGAAGGUUGGUACUUGUACCGACUGGAUGAGCAGCGAACGGGUGAGUAACGCGUGGGGAAUCUGCCUUUGAGCGGGGGACAACAUUUGGAAACGAAUGCUAAUACCGCAUAAAAACUUUAAACACAAGUUUUAAGUUUGAAAGAUGCAAUUGCAUCACUCAAAGAUGAUCCCGCGUUGUAUUAGCUAGUUGGUGAGGUAAAGGCUCACCAAGGCGAUGAUACAUAGCCGACCUGAGAGGGUGAUCGGCCACAUUGGGACUGAGACACGGCCCAAACUCCUACGGGAGGCAGCAGUAGGGAAUCUUCGGCAAUGGACGAAAGUCUGACCGAGCAACGCCGCGGGAGCGAAGAAGGGUUUCGGAUCGUAAAACUCUGUUGGUAGAGAAGAACGUUGGUGAGAGUGGAAAGCUCAUCAAGUGACGGUAACUACCCAGAAAGGGACGGCUAACUACGUG